AGAGAGAGACAUGCGCGCAUAUCAAUAAGCGGAGGAAAAGAAACUAACAAGGAUUCCCUUAGUAACGGCGAGUGAAGCGGGAAGAGCUCAAAUUUGAAAUCUUCAAGGUUUUACCUUGACGAAUUGUAGUUUAAAGAAGUGUUUUCUGCUGAAGUUUUGGUAAAAGUUCUUUGGAAUAGGACAUCAUAGAGGGUGAGAAUCCCGUAUUUGACCAUUAUUUUCAGCUUUGUGAUACACUUUCAAAGAGUCGGAUUGUUUGGGAAUGCAGUCCAAAAUGGGCUGGUAAAUUUCAUCUAAAGCUAAAUAUUAGCGAGAGACCGAUAGCGAACAAGUACCGUGAGGGAAAGAUGAAAAGAACUUUGAAAAGAGAGUUAAACAGUACGUGAAAUUGUCAAAAGGGAAGCGUUUGACACCAGUGUUGUUUUCUCGAAAAUCAAUUAAAAAUGGCUCGAUUUUGUAUUGCUUGAGACCUUAAAAGCUCACUGUACAUUUUUCGUGUCUUUUUUAAUGCACUUUUCGUUUAACAAGUCAACAUCAGUUUCUUUUGUUGUAAAAGGGUCAUUGGAAGGAUGGCUUUCUUUUCGGAGAAAGUGUUUAUAGCCUUUGGCCUCUGCAAUCGGAGAGACUGAGGUCUGCAGCGUAGACUCUUCGGGGUUAGAUACAUUUGUGCUAAGUUAUAGCUUUUUAUAGACAACUUGUUGACUAUAAUUAGUCUUGUAGCUUACUCGCUUAUGCUAUUUUACCUACGCUUAGGAUGUUGAAGUCAUCGUAUCGCGC
rnacentral:rRNA from 1 species